rnacentral:rRNA from 1 species
GAGGUUAAGCGACUAAGCGUACACGGUGGAUGCCCUGGCAGUCAGAGGCGAUGAAGGACGUGCUAAUCUGCGAUAAGCGUCGGUAAGGUGAUAUGAACCGUUAUAACCGGCGAUUUCCGAAUGGGGAAACCCAGUGUGAUUCGUCACACUAUCAUUAACUGAAUCCAUAGGUUAAUGAGGCGAACCGGGGGAACUGAAACAUCUAAGUACCCCGAGGAAAAGAAAUCAACCGAGAUUCCCCCAGUAGCGGCGAGCGAACGGGGAGCAGCCCAGAGCCUGAAUCAGUGUGUGUGUUAGUGGAAGCGUCUGGAAAGGCGCGCGAUACAGGGUGACAGCCCCGUACACAAAAAUGCACAUACUGUGAGCUCGAUGAGUAGGGCGGGACACGUGGUAUCCUGUCUGAAUAUGGGGGGACCAUCCUCCAAGGCUAAAUACUCCUGACUGACCGAUAGUGAACCAGUACCGUGAGGGAAAGGCGAAAAGAACCCCGGCGAGGGGAGUGAAAAAGAACCUGAAACCGUGUACGUACAAGCAGUGGGAGCACGCUUAGGCGUGUGACUGCGUACCUUUUGUAUAAUGGGUCAGCGACUUAUAUUCUGUAGCAAGGUUAACCGAAUAGGGGAGCCGAAGGGAAACCGAGUCUUAACUGGGCGUUAAGUUGCAGGGUAUAGACCCGAAACCCGGUGAUCUAGCCAUGGGCAGGUUGAAGGUUGGGUAACACUAACUGGAGGACCGAACCGACUAAUGUUGAAAAAUUAGCGGAUGACUUGUGGCUGGGGGUGAAAGGCCAAUCAAACCGGGAGAUAGCUGGUUCUCCCCGAAAGCUAUUUAGGUAGCGCCUCGUGAAUUCAUCUCCGGGGGUAGAGCACUGUUUCGGCAAGGGGGUCAUCCCGACUUACCAACCCGAUGCAAACUGCGAAUACCGGAGAAUGUUAUCACGGGAGACACACGGCGGGUGCUAACGUCCGUCGUGAAGAGGGAAACAACCCAGACCGCCAGCUAAGGUCCCAAAGUCAUGGUUAAGUGGGAAACGAUGUGGGAAGGCCCAGACAGCCAGGAUGUUGGCUUAGAAGCAGCCAUCAUUUAAAGAAAGCGUAAUAGCUCACUGGUCGAGUCGGCCUGCGCGGAAGAUGUAACGGGGCUAAACCAUGCACCGAAGCUGCGGCAGCGACGCUGAUGCGUUGUUGGGUAGGGGAGCGUUCUGUAAGCCUGUGAAGGUGUGCUGUGAGGCAUGCUGGAGGUAUCAGAAGUGCGAAUGCUGACAUAAGUAACGAUAAAGCGGGUGAAAAGCCCGCUCGCCGGAAGACCAAGGGUUCCUGUCCAACGUUAAUCGGGGCAGGGUGAGUCGACCCCUAAGGCGAGGCCGAAAGGCGUAGUCGAUGGGAAACAGGUUAAUAUUCCUGUACUUGGUGUUACUGCGAAGGGGGGACGGAGAAGGCUAUGUUGGCCGGGCGACGGUUGUCCCGGUUUAAGCGUGUAGGCUGGUUUUCCAGGCAAAUCCGGAAAAUCAAGGCUGAGGCGUGAUGACGAGGCACUACGGUGCUGAAGCAACAAAUGCCCUGCUUCCAGGAAAAGCCUCUAAGCAUCAGGUAACAUCAAAUCGUACCCCAAACCGACACAGGUGGUCAGGUAGAGAAUACCAAGGCGCUUGAGAGAACUCGGGUGAAGGAACUAGGCAAAAUGGUGCCGUAACUUCGGGAGAAGGCACGCUGAUAUGUAGGUGAAGCGACUUGCUCGUGGAGCUGAAAUCAGUCGAAGAUACCAGCUGGCUGCAACUGUUUAUUAAAAACACAGCACUGUGCAAACACGAAAGUGGACGUAUACGGUGUGACGCCUGCCCGGUGCCGGAAGGUUAAUUGAUGGGGUCAGCGCAAGCGAAGCUCUUGAUCGAAGCCCCGGUAAACGGCGGCCGUAACUAUAA